AGCUGAAAGAAGAAUUUGAAGAGGGCAAAAUUGGAAAUAUCUUGGAGGCUGUUAGGAAGUACUCCCAAAGAAAUGUUUCAGAGAAUCAAUCCACAAUGCCCGGUUUCUCAACGCCAUCAAUUUCUCCUGGUGAAAGGGAAGUAUUGGCUUAUUCUUCAAGAUAUAAUUUUGAGUUUGAGGAGUUAGAAAAACUUGCAGGAGAAGGACGUCAUGGCCACGUUU